CAGCAGCCGCGGUAAUACGAAGGGGGCUAGCGUUGCUCGGAAUGACUGGGCGUAAAGGGCGCGUAGGCGGCUGUUACAGUCAGACGUGAAAUUCCUGGGCUCAACCUGGGGGCUGCGUUUGAUACGUGAUGGCUUGAGUUCGGAAGAGGGUCGUGGAAUUCCCAGUGUAGAGGUGAAAUUCGUAGAUAUUGGGAAGAACACCGGUGGCGAAGGCGGCGACCUGGUCCGAUACUGACGCUGAGGCGCGAAAGCGUGGGGAGCAAACAGGAUUAGAUACCCGCGUAGUCCCUGUCUCUUAUAC
rnacentral:rRNA from 1 species